UACGUAGGGAGCAAGCGUUGUCCGGAAUCAUUGGGCGUAAAGCGCGCGUAGGUGGCCUCAUAAGUCCGCUGUGAAAGUCAAAGGCUCAACCUUUGAAAGCCGGUGGAUACUGUGAGGCUAGAGUACGGAAGAGGCGAGUGGAAUUCCUGGUGUAGCGGUGGAAUGCGCAGAUAUCAGGAGGAACACCAAUAGCGAAAGCAGCUCUCUGGGACGGUACUGACGCUGAGACGCGAAAGCGUGGGGAGCGAACAGG
rnacentral:rRNA from 1 species